AACAUUAGCGCCUCGACGACAAUAGCUAGAAUGGCCGCGGCGACGGAGGAUUGUCCCCUGAUGAGGCUGUCAUUCUAGCGUUGUCAUCGAGGCGCUAAAAU
rnacentral:pre_miRNA from 1 species